CGCGGGGUAGAGAAAUGGUAUCUCAUUAGGCUCAUGAUCUAAAGGAAAUGGGUUCGAUUCCCAUCCCCGCUU
rnacentral:tRNA from 1 species